AUGGCCACCUCGGCGAUCACAUCCCCAGCGGCGCCGGAAGCGACGCUGCCCCUGGCCGGCCGCGUGGCCAUCGUCACCGGCGCGUCCCGCGGGAUCGGGCGCGGCAUCGCGACCCACCUGUCGUCCCUCGGCGCCAGCCUGGUCCUCGGGUACGCCUCCAGCUCUCAGCAGGCGGACGCGCUGGCCGCUGAGCUCCCGCGCGCCGUGGCGGUGAAGGCCGACGUCUCGGACGAGGCGGGCGUCCGGUCCCUCUUUGACGCCGCGGAGACCGCCUUCGGCGGCCCGGCGCACAUCCUCGUGGCCUGCGCUGGCCAGGGCAUCGGGACCUACCCGUCCCUCGCCAACACCGCCACCUCGGACUUCGACAACGUGUUCGCCGUGAACACCCGAGGUGCGUUUCUGUGCCUGCGCGAGGCGGCGAACCGGCUGCACCGCGGGGGCGGGGGCCGGAUCGUGGCCGUGUCCUCGACGCUGGCGGCGACGCUGCUCCCCGGCUACGCGGCGUACGUGGCGUCUAAGGCGGCCGUGGAGGCGAUGGUGCGGGUGGCCGCGAAGGAGCUCGGGUCGGCACGGGUGACGGUGAACUGCAUCGCGCCGGGGCCGGUGGCGACGGAGCUCUUCUUCGACGGGAAGAGCGAGGAGGCGGUGGAGAGGUUCAGGGCUGGGCACCCGAUGGGGCGGCUUGGGGAGGUCGGCGACAUCGCGCCUGCGGUGGGGUUCCUCUGCACCGACGCGGCCGAGUGGGUGAACGGCCAGGUCAUUCGGCUCAACGGCGGCAUUGCUUAA
rnacentral:rRNA from 1 species